UUCUUUGGGAACAAGAAGCUU
rnacentral:misc_RNA from 1 species